AUUGAACGCUGGCGGCAUGCCUUACACAUGCAAGUCGAACGGUAACAGGGAGCUUGCUCCGCUGACGAGUGGCGAACGGGUGAGUAAUGUAUCGGAACGUACCUUUUAGUGGGGGAUAACGUAGCGAAAGUUACGCUAAUACCGCAUAUUCUCUGAGGAGGAAAGCAGGGGACCUUCGGGCCUUGCGCUAAUAGAGCGGCUGAUAUCAGAUUAGCUAGUUGGUGAGGUAAAGGCUCACCAAGGCGACGAUCUGUAGCGGGUCUGAGAGGAUGAUCCGCCACACUGGAACUGAGACACGGUCCAGACUCCUACGGGAGGCAGCAGUGGGGAAUUUUGGACAAUGGGGGCAACCCUGAUCCAGCCAUGCCGCGUGAGUGAAGAAGGCCUUCGGGUUGUAAAGCUCUUUCGGCCGGGAAAAAAUCGCAUGGGUUAAUACCCUGUGUGGAUGAUGGUACCGGAAUAAGAAGCACCGGCUAACUACGUGCCAGCAGCCGCCGCGGUAA
rnacentral:rRNA from 1 species